rnacentral:rRNA from 1 species
CCUACGGGUGGCAGCAGUGGGGAAUAUUGCGCAAUGGGCGAAAGCCUGACGCAGCGACGCCGCGUGAGGGAUGAAGGUCUUCGGAUCGUAAACCUCUGUCAGCAGGGAAGAACGGUCACUGUGCUAAUCAGCAGUGAAUUGACGGUACCUGCAAAGGAAGCACCGGCUAACUCCGUGCCAGCAGCCGCGGUAAUACGGAGGGUGCGAGCGUUAAUCGGAAUUACUGGGCGUAAAGCGCUCGUAGGCGGUAUGUCAAGUCAAGGGGGAAAUCCCCGCGCUCAACGUGGGAACUGCCGUUGAAACUGGCAAACUGGAGGGUGUGGGAGGAUAGUGGAAUUCCAGGUGUAUGAGUGAAAUCCGUAGAUAUCUGGAGGAACAUCAGUGGCGAAGGCGACUAUCUGGCACAUAACUGACGCUGAGGAGCGAAAGCGUGGGUAGCAAACAGGAUUAGAUACCCCGGUAGUCC